rnacentral:rRNA from 1 species
CCUACGGGUGGCAGCAGUGGGGAAUAUUGGACAAUGGGCGAAAGCCUGAUCCAGCCAUGCCGCGUGUGUGAAGAAGGCCUUCGGGUUGUAAAGCACUUUCAGUGGGGAAGAAAGCCUUGGGGCUAAUACCCUCGAGGAAGGACAUCACCCACAGAAGAAGCACCGGCUAACUCCGUGCCAGCAGCCGCGGUAAUACGGAGGGUGCGAGCGUUAAUCGGAAUUACUGGGCGUAAAGCGCGCGUAGGCGGUCUGAUAAGCCGGUUGUGAAAGCCCCGGGCUCAACCUGGGAACGGCAUCCGGAACUGUCAGGCUAGAGUGCAGGAGAGGAAGGUAGAAUUCCCGGUGUAGCGGUGAAAUGCGUAGAGAUCGGGAGGAAUACCAGUGGCGAAGGCGGCCUUCUGGACUGACACUGACGCUGAGGUGCGAAAGCGUGGGUAGCAAACGGGAUUAGAUACCCUUGUAGUC